UACGUAGGGGGCUAGCGUUGUCCGGAUUUAUUGGGCGUAAAGAGCGUGUAGGCGGUCUGGUAGGUCCGUUGUGAAAACUCGAGGCUCAACCUCGAGACGCCGAUGGAAACCCUCAGACUAGAGUCCGGAAGAGGAGAGUGGAAUUCCUGGUGUAGCGGUGAAAUGCGCAGAUAUCAGGAAGAACACCCGUGGCUAAGGCGGCUCUCUAGUACGUGACUGACGCUGAGACGCGAAAGCGUGGGGAGCGAACAGG
rnacentral:rRNA from 1 species